rnacentral:sRNA from 1 species
GAAGAAUUGAAAAAAUAUUUUUAUUACUUGGAGGGAUCCAAAGAUGCUCU